rnacentral:rRNA from 1 species
AGAGUUUGAUCCUGGCUCAGGAUGAACGCUGGCGGCGUGCCUAAUACAUGCAAGUCGAGCGAGAAGUUAGAGCGGCGGACGGGUGAGUAACGCGUGGGUAACCUGCCCUUUACAGGGGGAUAGCAAUUGGAAACGAUUAUUAAUACCCCAUAAUCUUUAAUAACCGCAUGGUUGUUGAAGGAAAGAUUUAUCGGUAAAGGAUGGACCCGCGUCUGAUUAGCUAGUUGGUGAGGUAACGGCCCACCAAGGCGACGAUCAGUAGCCGACCUGAGAGGGUGAUCGGCCACAUUGGAACUGAGACACGGUCCAGACUCCUACGGGAGGCAGCAGUAGGGAAUAUUGGGCAAUGGGGGAAACCCUGACCCAGCAACGCCGCGUGAACGAUGAAGGUCUUCGGAUCGUAAAGUUCUUUUCUUGAGGAAGAAGGAAGUGACGGUACUCAAGGAAUAAGCACCGGCUAACUACGUGCCAGCAGCCGCGGUAAUACGUAGGGUGCAAGCGUUAUCCGGAAUCACUGGGCGUAAAGAAUGUAAGCUUUUGAAACUGAUUGGCUUGAAUACAGGAGGGGCAAGUGGAAUUCCUAGUGUAGCGGUGAAAUGCGUAGAUAUUAGGAGGAACACCGGUGGCGAAGGCGACUUGCUGGACUGAGAUUGACGCUGAGGCACGAAAGCGUGGGUAGCGAACAGGAUUAGAUACCCUGGUAGUCCACGCCGUAAACGAU